ensembl:lncRNA
CCCGCCCCCUUCUGACAACAUGGCAGCCGUGACGUAAACAGAUUAAAAGUCACCGAAAUCAACACAUAGUGACCGAUUCAUGGUAGAUACUUUCACAUAUAGAUAAUAACUCGAUAAUCAGCAGGCGGCCGGGCCUCACUGAUCAAUAAUCUCACUUUUAGAGAAGCAAAAUAGCAAGCUAACCCAAAGAGCAAGCUAACCCAAAGUAGCAAGCUAACACAAAGUAGCAAGCUAACACAAAGUAGCAAGCUAACACAAAGUAAGAAGCUAACACAAAGUAGCAAGCUAACACAAAGUAAGAAGCUAACAAUGAAACAGAAAACUAAGCUCACCGUGACGAAGUGAUCUUCUCCUGUUGUUGUUUCCGGUCCUUUGCUGCGGCUCUCCGGAAGUUGAGCUCAGUCUUACAGUCCACUUCUACACGGCCAUCAUGGAGUCCAUCCUCUGCUCCUCCAUCAUCGUCUGGUACGCUGCAGCCACAGCCAAGGACAAGGGCAGGCUGCAGCGUGUCCUCCGCUCUGCAGAGAGGCUGAUCGGCUGCAAUCUGCCGUCCCUGCAGGACUUGUUCGCUUCCAGCUCUCCCUUCUACUGACUCCUUGGCGAUGAGAGCCACCAUGCGAGCAUCGGAGAGGAGACGAUGAGGCAAGAGUCAACCCUCUCCUGAAGAAACCCACCCUCAACCCUUCUGAAGAAAACAGCUACAGACGGUCUCUCUUCUUCCCUUUUUGUCCAAAACUCUUGAACGUGUGAUCUUUAACCAACUCUCCUGCUAUCUCCACCGUAACAACCUCCUUGACCCCCACCAGUCAGGCUUCAAGGCCGUUCCACAGAGACUGCUCUCCUUGCUGUCUCAGAGCAACUCCACACUGCUAGAGCUCCUCUCUGUCCUCUGUCCUCGUCCUUCUGGACCUCUCUGCUGCAUUUGACACAGUCAACCACCAGAUCCUUAUCUCCUCCCUUCAGGAACUUGGUGUCACAGGCUCUGCUCUCUCCCUUCUCUCGUCCUACCUCGACGGACGCACCUACCGGGUAACUUGGAGAGGAUCUGUGUCGGAACCUCGUCCUCUUACCACUGGAGUUCCUCAGGGUUCCGUCCUGGGUCCCCUCCUCUUCUCGCUCUACACCAACUCUCUCUGCGCUGUCAUUCGCACUCGCACUCCUCCACUCCUCCGCUCUCUUCACUGGUACCGGUGGCUCAUCCAGUUCUAACCAUGGUGCUCACGUACCAUGCUGUGAAUGGAUGGGGUCCAGCUUCCAUCCAGGACCUGGUCCAACCCGACAUCCCGACCCGCACUCUCCGCUCUGCAUGUGAUAAACUGCUUGUUCCUCCUCACUGAGAGCAAAACACUCGACUAGAUCUCCACUCUUUGCUGUCCUGCUCCUAAAUGGUGGAAGGAGGUCUCUGAAGACAUCAGGACCACAGAGAGCCUUCACAUCUUCACCUAAAGACACACCUCUUCAGACUCUACCUCCACUAACACACUAACUGUAGCACUUACAUUGGACUUAUAAUGGUUCUUAUCUACAGCGAGUUGUAAAACGGCUUAUUUGAUGAAAUCACACUUUCUUGUUUCUUGUUCUUCUGACUUUGUGUCCUGAUGGUUGAAAUGUUCUUGUUGUAAGUCGCUUUGGAUAAAAGCGUCAGAUAAAUGACAAGUGAUGUCAUGUUAUUAUUGUAUUAUCAAUAUUAUUGAUCUAGUGAGUUCCAUUGGAUCAACUUGUUGGUGGUUCGAGCCCCGGCUGUCCCAUGUCAAAGUGUCCCUGAGCAAGGCACAUAACUCCUAAUUGCUCCCCGGGCAAAAAGCCAAGGGUUAAAAAAUGUAGUGUAAUGUAAGUCGCUUUGGAUAAAAGCGUCAGCUAAAUGACCUGUAAUGUGAUGUAAUGUGACCUAAGGAGAGUCAGGUACCUUUACAGACUUAAAGUACUUGGAUACAUCUCUCUAUGAUGUAGUGAAGUACUUUGAACAACAGUAUAAAAUCACAUUAAAGUACAUUAAACGGUCAUUCUGUGCUGUAGUUCUGCCAGCAGGGCGAGACGUCAUAUUAUGACAUCACUUCCUCCUGACUGAGUGUGUGUUGUUGGAGCU